GACGAACGCUGGCGGCGUGCUUAACACAUGCAAGUCGAACGGAAAGGCCCUGCUUUUGUGGUGUGCUCGAGUGGCGAACGGGUGAGUAACACGUGAGUAACCUGCCCUUGACUUUGGGAUAACUUCAGGAAACUGGGGCUAAUACCGGAUAGGAGCUCCUGCUGCAUGGUGGGGGUUGGAAAGUUUCGGCGGUUGGGGAUGGACUCGCGGCUUAUCAGCUUGUUGGUGGGGUAGUGGCUUACCAAGGCUUUGACGGGUAGCCGGCCUGAGAGGGUGACCGGCCACAUUGGGACUGAGAUACGGCCCAGACUCCUACGGGAGGCAGCAGUGGGGAAUAUUGCACAAUGGGCGGAAGCCUGACGCAGCAACGCCGCGUGCGGGAUGACGGCCUUCGGGUUGUAAACCGCUUUCGCCUGUGACGAAGCGUGAGUGACGGUAAUGGGUAAAGAAGCACCGGCUAACUACGUG
rnacentral:rRNA from 1 species